rnacentral:RNase_P_RNA from 1 species
UUUGACAAACGCUGCAUUCAAAGUAAUGUAGAGGAAAGUCCAUACUUGCACAGUCUGUGAUGAUUGUAGUGAUUGUGCUUAGGGAAAAAAUAACCUAAGGUAGCUUUAUGCUAACGACGUCUAAUGACCUAAGGAAAUCUAUGGUCUAGGACAUAAAGUGCCGCAGAGACGAGUCUUUUAGAAAUGAAAGAGUGAAACGUGGUAAACUCCGCAAGCAAGAAACCCAAAUUAUGGUAGGGGAACCCAUAAGAAAGAAUCAAGAAUUUCCGAGGGACUAAAUUUUUAGUAGAUAAAUGUUUGUCGCCUAGUAAUAGGUACAGAAUAUGGCUUAUAA